GACGUAGGGCGCGAGCGUUUGUCCGGAUUUAUUGGGCGUAAAGAGCUCGUAGGCGGUUUGUCGCGUCGUCUGUGAAAACCCACGGCUCAACUGUGGGCUUGCAGUCGAUACGGGCAGGCUAGAGUUCGGUAGGGGAGACUGGAAUUCCUGGUGUAGCGGUGAAAUGCGCAGAUAUCAGGAGGAACACCGGUGGCGAAGGCGGGUCUCUGGGCCGAUACUGACGCUGAGGAGCGAAAGCGUGGGGAGCGAACAGG
rnacentral:rRNA from 1 species